GGUCUUCUGUAUAGAAAGCAUGUUUUCAGGACUGAGGGUGCUUCCAUCAGUUAAUUAAAACACUGAUUUCAUGUAAACACGACACAGAUGACCCAGUCAUGUUCAGAUCUACAUAGAUAUAUAUCCAGUAGAUUUCUGAGGUUAGCAGCUGUCGCUCCUGCUAGCUUGCUGCUUCCCCGUCUCUGAUUGGCUCUGGCAUCACGUGUUUUCUUCAUUCUCACCGCUGCAACAGUGCGGUGUCGCUGUAAGUCAGUAACCCGUUUACCGUGCCUCUAACUCGCCCACAAGUGCUCAAGCACUAUUAACCACGAUGUGAAACACUGAAGCUAACGCUAACGUUAAACCCCCUGCUCCGCCAAAAUAAAAUACAAAAUCUUCUCGAACUAAAGGCACGUGAUGGGAGGGUCUUUGUCGACAUUUUCUUUGUGUUUAUGCGCGAGUGGCUGGGCGGCAAAAACAAACACUAAAUGGCCGUCAAUCACCAUCAAUACGCGACGUAAACUUUUAAGAGGGUUUGGGGGAAAAAUCCUUGAUAUUCAAACACGUUAGCGUCUAGAGACCGGCGGAGGUUUAGAGAGAAGCUUAAAGCCCGUGUGAGCUCUGGGACGACGAAAGGCAUCGGUCCCGUUUGCUGGUAGUUUCUCACUAAUCUGCUGGGGAGACAUUUACUGCUGUUCCUCAGAAAGCCCUGUGCUCUGGAUCAUAAAAGUAAAGGCUUUAAAGCAUCUGGAGGCCUACGAUUACUUUGUUUUACGGGAAGUAGAGCCGAGAACAGAAAGCCGUAGUCGUGCUAGGGCUGGGCGGUGUGGCCUAAAACCAGGGUCACCAUCUACUGAGGGUUUCACCUCGAUAACGAUGAAUAGUCGAUGACUACAGGUAUGCGCACAAACUAAAGUAGUCCACUAGAUGGCGCUGUCACGUGAUUUACAUGACUUAAGGUGGGACAGCUUCUUAAAGAGACACGAACGUUGCCAACCUACACAUCUUUUCAUUUUUUAUAGUCAACUGAUGAGUGAUCAGCGGUCGGAGCUGUUGCAGGUUGACCUUCAGCUGCGUUAGGUUCAAGCAGCUGGAAUGUGUGUGUUUUCCUUAGAAACACACAUCAGUGAGAGAUGUGACCGCCGUAGAUCUGGCUCUGUUGUGGAGGUUAUCUCUCAGAUCCAACCUCUCAAUGAGCUGCAGUGAGUUUCUGUGUGAACGACACACAGGUAAUCCUGUCACAGUUGUAAAAUAACCCUAAGAAGGCACUAUACAAAUACAGGCCAUUUACCAUUUACCAUACCCGGGAGGGGCUCUGUGUAGAGCCGCUGCUCAUCUGGGUUCUAAGGCAAAUUUUCCUUAUUGUGUGUAGCGAACCCAAAGGUGAAUUAUUUCAUCAAAAUGAACAGAAAUGAACUUUUUAGUUUGCAGACACAAACUGCGUCACACAUCCCGUCUGUCUGGCCUCCAAACGAGGUCUUGUCACCGGAUAAAGAGACAUAAUAAAACUAGCUGCCUUAUCGUGGCUGGAGCUAAAGUCACGCAGAAAACCAGACGAUCAGCUCUUUCACUCCAAAUAGAGUUCAUGUGUUCACUUCCUUAACUCAUAAACGGCUUUACAACUUUAUAGGUUGAUAUAAUCAAAUGUCGUGCAUGAACACGAUGUUUAAAUCCCAGAGUGUGUGAGUAAUGGGUGCUUUAAUCGGUGACGUGUUAAAAUGAAUGUUUUUCCUGCAAAGAUUCGUUUCAGAUCUAAACUACACCAGAUCAGUGUUUAAUCUAGCACUUUACUCACACACCAUAAGUUAUUAUUAAUGUUUAACGUUCACUUCACAAUAAGAGUCUCUGAGGGUCUGAGUGAGGGCGGGGUUUCGGAGCCAUUUUGUUAACACCUCUAAAAUGUGUCGUAUUCUGAUUUCCCAAAUUUAGAAACAAAAGUUGAUAAAAACAGGAAUCACUUCCUGAUCUGGUCAGUUCUCCCGCUGCAUCCCGGUUCGGCCCACCGGUGAACAGGCAUUAUGAGACCAUCCUGUCUUUUGACCUCAAGGUCAAAGCCUCUCUGCGACGCCUGUGAGUGAUUACAGACGCAGCGACCACUUUUAAGAGCCACCCAACACCUCAGAAGCAAAAUAGACACUCCAGCUUCCUGCCGUCACCUGGAGAUCACCCAAACUAGGCGGGUCGUACUCUGAGCUGCCUACCAGCGCCGCUACCAGAGGUCCACGCCAUCAGCAGUGUCCAUCUCGACCUCCUGACCCCCUGGAUCGCUUGGGGAUCUUCACACAAGGGUGCGUGGAUCGGCACAAAUUGUGUCGGACAAACUUUAGCUUAUCGAGCAUACAGCCAAACAGAGUUCAGCAGCCAGACGCCACACGCCCUCUCAGAUACGUAGAAAGGUUCUGCUAAAACAUCUAGCGUCUAUUCCAUCAGUUCAUCCAUCAUCUGCUGUCUGAACAACCAUCAGCUCAUUUGUCACGUACGGUCGUUUUUAUAACUGUAUUCUUGACUCUGGUUAGUAGGAAGUGGGUGGUCCCUGAAUAAGUCAAAGAACCUAACGUCUUCUGAUUAAACAUCCAAAGACCAAUCAGAUUCAUGCUUCAUGUUUAUACGUUAAAGUUAAAGUCCCAUUAGUUGUCACACACACAGGUGUGUGUGUGAAAUUUGUUCUCUGCAUGUGACCCAUCCCCUGGGGGAGCGGUGAGCUGCAGACACAGCCGAGCUCGGGAACCAUUUGGUGGUUUAACCCCCCAAUCCAACCCCUUAAUGCUGAGUGUCAAGCAGGGAGGCAUUGGGUCCCAUUUUUUCAAAGUCUUUGGUAUGACCCGACCAGGAAUCGAACCCUGAUCUCCCGGUCUCAGGGCGGACACUCUACCACUAGGCCACUGAGCUGAUCAUCCGGGGUGGUGCGCAGUGGUUAGAGCUGUUGCCUUGCAGCAAGAAGGUCCUGGGCUCGCUUCCCGGCCUGGGAUCUUUCUGCAUGUUCUCCCUGUGCAUGCGUGGGUUCUCUCCGGGUUCUCCGGCUUCCUCCCACAGUCCAAACUGCGAUGGACUGGCUCUCUGUCCAGGGUGUACCCCGCCUGGUUGCCCGUUGACUGCUGGAGAUAGGCACCAGCCCCCCCCCCCGGCCACCCUACGGAGGAAACUCAUUUCGGCCGCUUGUAUCCGUGAUCUCGUUCUUUCGGUCAUUACCCAAAGCUCAUGACCAUAGGUGAGGAUUGGGACGUAGAUCGACCGGUAAAUCGAGAGCCUGGCAUUCUGGCUCAGCUCCCUCUUCCCCACGACAGAUCGGCUCAGCGUCCGCAUCACUGCAGACGCCGAACCAAUCCGCCUGUCGAUCUCCCGAUCCCUCCUACCCUCACUCGUGAACAAGACCCCGAGAUACUUAAACUCCUCCACUUGAGGUAGGACCUCAGCCGUCAGGCUGAAGAAGGAGGCCUACAGGGCGUGGCUCGGAGUGUGUCACAUCUAAAACGGUCCGGGUGGAAACAGUUCUCUGUGCUUGGACACAUUCAGAUGGUUUCUUGCAUCGCCACGCCGGAUGAGCCGUGUCACCCAAACCCCCAUAAUCAGCUGGGCUGGCAGGUCAGCUGUUGCUGUGACCUUUACUUGUUUUUGAUGGCUGUUAGCUUCCUGCUGCUGUUCUGGAUUUAGUUGAGUUCAUGCGUCGCCACACAUCCUCAGUCAGCCCACUGCUGACGCUCUGUUUGUGGUUUCUUCUUGACUCACAUGAUGAGCAGAGGAACGGAAGUGAAACAGAGAGAGUUCCUGAGGAGCUGCAGGUCACAAGAGCUAACAUCAAACACACGAGCUUCCAUUUGGAUUUGAGUCAGAGUUCACCGGAGAUGAUGAGAAAACUCAGGAACGAUGGCGUUUUUCACAUUUACAUCAGAAACAUGCGGAGACCUUCAGUGAGGUAAAGAUGGCCGAACAGGUGCCUGACACAGGUGAGCCAUCAGCUGAUUAGAUGGAGACUGGACCGAACUUCCUGUAGAAACCUUCUAGUUCUGCCUCGCUCAUGCAGGCCUCGGGGAACCUCUGGGGUUAACGCACACACACACACACACACACUCACUGCUGGUGCACACACACACACACACACACACACGCACACACACACUCACUGCUGGUGCACACACACACACACACACACACACACACACACACACACUCACUGCUGGUGCACACACACACACACACACACACACACUCACUGCUGGUGCACACACACACACACACACACACACACACACACACACACACACUCAC